rnacentral:lncRNA from 1 species
AAGUUGGCCAAGGAGCAGCUCCUCCGUGUGAGUGUGCGUGUACACGCGCGUGUUCCGCCCCUGCCUGCUCCUCCUGACAGAUAGCUGGGCCUGGGCCUGAGUUUGAUUCAUUUCUACUGAAAAAACAACUCCAACCUGAAGAUAAGCAUUCGCUCAAGCAAGAUUGCAGGGUGUGCGAAGGUCACUGAGCUGGCGACCAGGAGAGAUUAAAG